UAAUAUUUUAGAAGUACAUAUCGUUAAAGAAAUUACCAAGAGCACUCACAGGGAGCACCACUAAUAGUCCAGUAUACCUCUCGAAGCCAUUAACGGUGUCGUAAUACGUGAAGUCUUGCUUGAGAAUGCUCCAGGCACUUGGCUGUGGAAGGAAGAAUGGAAAUUACAAUAACAAAAUCUUAAUUCUAAUAGAAUACUAAUAAUGCUCUAAUUAGACCAUAAUAAUGCUAAGCAAGCUUAAUCAAAUUCAAAAAAAUCUCAAAGAAAUUUCAAAUAAACAAUAAGAAUUCUUAAAGAAAUAUUAAAAAGAACACAAAUGUCAUUCAAAUACAUCUCAAUUCAAUCUUAAUUUAAUUCUAUUUAAAAUCCUAUUAAACUUCGUUCAAACUUUAGGCCAAAACUAAUUGAAUCUUAAAUCCUACUAAAAUCCUAAAUCCUAAAUCAAAACCCAACCAAAUCCUAAACCAAAUCCUAACCAAACCCUAAAUCAAAUCCUAAACCCUAAUCAAACCCUAAUCCAAAUUCUAAACCCUAAACCAAAUCCUAACCAAAUCAUAAAUUUUAAAUCAAACCCUAUCCAAAUCCUAAACCCUAAAUCAAACCCUAAUCCAAACCCUAAUCCAAAUCCUAAAUCCUAAACCAAAUCCUAACCAAAUCCUAAACCGAAUCCUAAUAAUUCCUA
rnacentral:lncRNA from 1 species